rnacentral:rRNA from 1 species
UGGGGAAUAUUGCGCAAUGGGGGAAACCCUGACGCAGCAACGCCGCGUGAGUGAGGAAGGCCUUCGGGUUGUAAAGCUCUGUCAUAUGGGAAAAAUGGUAGUUGGUCUAAUAGGCCGAUUAUUUGAUGGUACCAUAAAAGGAAGCACCGGCUAACUUCGUGCCAGCAGCCGCGGUAAUACGAAGGGUGCAAGCGUUAUUCGGAUUUACUGGGCGUAAAGCGCGCGCAGGCGGAUAUGCAAGUCAGAUGUGAAAUCCCAGGGCUCAACCCUGGAACUGCGUCUGAAACUGCUUAUCUAGAAUCUCAGAGGGGGAAGGGGAAUUUCGCAUGUAGGGGUAAAAUCCGUAGAGAUGCGAAGGAACACCAGAGGCGCAGGCGCCUUCCUGGAUGAGUAUUGACGC